rnacentral:rRNA from 1 species
GACGAACGCUGGCGGCGUGCUUAACACAUGCAAGUCGAACGGAAAGGCCCUGCUUUUGUGGGGUGCUCGAGUGGCGAACGGGUGAGUAACACGUGAGUAACCUGCCCUUGACUUUGGGAUAACUUCAGGAAACUGGGGCUAAUACCGGAUAGGAGCUCCUGCUGCAUGGUGGGGGUUGGAAAGUUUCGGCGGUUGGGGAUGGACUCGCGGCUUAUCAGCUUGUUGGUGGGGUAGUGGCUUACCAAGGCUUUGACGGGUAGCCGGCCUGAGAGGGUGACCGGCCACAUUGGGACUGAGAUACGGAGCAGAGGCCUACGGGAGGCAGCAGGGGGGAAUAUGGCACAGUGGGCGGAAGCGUGAUGCAGCAGCGCCGCGUGCGGGAUGACGGCCUUCGGGUUGUAAACCGCUUUCGCCUGUGACGAAGCGUGAGUGACGGUAAUGGGUAAAGAAGCACCGGCUAACUACGUG